AGCUUGGUGCAGUGGCAGUAUCGUAGCCAGUGAGGUUUAUCCGAGGCGUGAUUAUUGCUAAUUGAAAAGUAGAGGUGGGGGCUGGGAGUGUUCAUAGGAUACAAAGCCAUGUUGUGAAGUGGUCCAACUGGAUAAUGGUCAGUCAU
ensembl:snRNA U4 U4 spliceosomal RNA